AAAGUUUUACAUUGGACAACAGUAAGGAUAACCGUCUAACUGUCAAUAUGCAGUCCUUUUUACAGUUUCGCAGCAAAUUUACUAUUCAUGGUCUGCUUUACUACCUUCUUACUAUGCUUGCCUAACUCAACUUAGUGUGAAAGAAUUGAACAAUGAGAUUCCUUAUUCAUCUGUGUUGUUAAGAAUGAAUCACCAUCCAGCAUUUUCCUUGUGUGGCUAGCCACGUGUUUUGGUUUUGGCUGAGUAUGUUUUGAUUUCCAGCAACAAUGGAACUCACAUCAGUGUUGAUUCUUCUCAUAACGAUAUAUCUUUAUGAUGUUUUAGGCUUUUUAUUUCCACGAUUUUAUAGUCAAUGCUUUGGUGUUAUCCUGCUAUAGUCAGGGCAUUAUUCCCAUUUCUUAGUUUUUAGUAACCUGCAGGUAGCUGAGAAGAUACUAAACAACAAAGUGUUGGAGUUCUAUAAAUGGGAGGGUCAACUUUCCCAACUGUUACGAAAUGUGAGGGAGAAGUUGAAUAAAGUUACAGAAGGAUGGACCCGAGAAGAAAAGAAUCAUUGUUUGGAAGAAACUGAGAAAUCAUUCAAGCUUUCAGGCGAAGUUCUGCGUCUGAUAUUAGUAUCAUGAUGAUAUUUCUCUAUUUGCUAUUUGUGUAAUUAUUGUGUAAAUAAUGGCAAAACCUUGGAACAUUGUGGGACAAGCAAAUUUGUAGUUCAGUUUAAACCACAAAUUAAAUUUUAUAUUAGGCAUUGAAA